ACCACAAGGUAGACUACCACAGCAAGUAUGGCUUUUCUCUCCCUCUCCCUCUCUGUCCCACACACGAUUGGGAAAAAAGUUUGUCUCGCCUGUGUGCUUGUUUGUGUGCACGCUUGGCUGCUUGUUCUUGAUUCCGGGAGAUUUUAUCUGACUUGCAGGCAUCAGGGAGCCGCUAUGUAUAUCAUAUAAUAUGCGUGAGACUCCCGGGACCUCCAGGAGACUUGGGAUGUCUCGGUGCGUUAUUGAACAUAUAUGUAGAUUUAAGUUUAUUUAAUGUGUUGUGUUUGAGGGAAUAUAGCAUAAUUGGCAACGAAAGUUUAAUAUAACUUCAGACCCAGCAAAGGGCACAUGUUGACCCUAGGUUGACGUCUCGGAGUCGCUCAACAUGGAGGCUACCAUCCGUCACAUCGAAGCCUUCGAUGAAAACAUGGAACAAUGGACAACCUACAUUGAAAGAUUUGAGCACUUUGUAGAGGUGAAUGGUAUUGAGAGUGGAAGGAAGGUGCCUGUACUACUUUAUGGGCGUUAUGGGCUGCAAGGUGUAUGGUUUACUGCGUAGUCUCGUGGCUCCAGAGAAGCUGGGAGACAAAAGUUAUGCCAAUAUAAAAGCAGUAUUGCAGCAACAUGUUUCUCCUAAACCCCUCAAAAUCGCCAAGAGGUUUCGCUUUCACAAGCGGGAUCAAGAGGUGGGAGAGACCAUUCCUCAGUAUGUAGCAGUGCUUAAAAAAUGAUCGGAGCACUGCAAGUUUGGCAAGCAGUAGGAGAACGCACUCCAUGACAGAUUUGUGUGUAGUUAAAGAGUGAAGCCACACAAAAGCGCCUGUGUAUGGAGGCUACACUGUUGUUCAAGAAAGCGGUGGAAAUACCUGCCUCAUUGUAGAUGGCAGCGCGUGAGUCACAACAGCUUAGCGGAUCCUUGAAGUGAACUCUGCCUGUGAGGACAAGAAGCUGAAGAUCUUUGAGAGACGGUUGAUUGGUGGUAGCAAUGAAGACUGCUUUCUGUGAUCCAUGGUGGACAUGGCAGAGAGCAAAGAGAGUCUCACAAGGGGACUGGUGAGCAAUUGGCAACAACAUGUGCACUACUGUGAUGAAGAGACUCUUCCCAUACAUUGCAUGGGGACAUCUGUCAUAACCAACACACCUUUUAAAUGUCAUGCAAAUGGCCAUGGAAUUGAUUAUAUUUUAUCUCGAAGGAAGGCAGAGAACAGAGUGAUUGCAGAUUCCCCCACUCAUUUUAUCAUCGUAAUAAUCAACGUAGACACACGUAUUCAUGUUUGAAUUAUAUGUAAGUUAAAGCUGCCACAGAAAGGAAAGCUGCACUUACAAUGGCAAGGUUUUUGGUAUUGCAUCUAUAAGGAGUGUUUAGUAAAUGGAACUGCAUAACAGGAAACAGUGAUGAAGCAACCGCAAUGUCCAACCUGAUACGGAUUUGCCUCAUGGCGUUGGAGCUCCUUUUUCCAUCAUUGUAUAACUCAGUGAAGUAAAAGGUGACCAUUUGGGAACCAUCAAGCCUUGGGCCUGACUGAAAGCAACUUUUGGUAACGUCAUUAAUAUGUGCAUCGUUUUUUGAUGGAAUCUCGCCAAUGACAUGUUCAGUUUUAUUUCUGAGCCCAUACAAGUCUGCAUUGUCAAAGUUUUGAUUUGUAAUGAUGAAUUAGCAGUUCUGUGUGUAGAAUGUCAAAUGUCAUAAUUUGCACUCACUCCCACCUCUCUCUCUCUCUCUCUCUCUCUCUCUCUCUCUCUCUCUCUCUCUCUCUUUCUCUACUUUUAAGUUUUUACUUAGUUAAGCCUUUGCAUAUGAGAUUGUGUGCUUGUGUGAACAUGAUAACUUAUUAAGAUCUAUACUUUUAAUUAUACUUCUGUUCCAUUUUUCCUGAAAUCCUGAAGAGCAUCUUUAUUACAUUUUAAUCCAUUUUAAUUUUAAAA